AGAGCGAACGCUGGCGGCAGGCUUAACACAUGCAAGUCGAGCGGGCGUAGCAAUACGUCAGCGGCAGACGGGUGAGUAACGCGUGGGAACGUACCUUUUGGUUCGGAACAACACAGGGAAACUUGUGCUAAUACCGGAUAAGCCCUUACGGGGAAAGAUUUAUCGCCAAAAGAUCGGCCCGCGUCUGAUUAGCUAGUUGGUGAGGUAACGGCUCACCAAGGCGACGAUCAGUAGCUGGUCUGAGAGGAUGAUCAGCCACAUUGGGACUGAGACACGGCCCAAACUCCUACGGGAGGCAGCAGUGGGGAAUAUUGGACAAUGGGCGCAAGCCUGAUCCAGCCAUGCCGCGUGAGUGAUGAAGGCCCUAGGGUUGUAAAGCUCUUUUGUGCGGGAAGAUAAUGACGGUACGCAAGAAUAAGCCCGGCUAACUUCGCGCCAGCAGCCGC
rnacentral:rRNA from 1 species